rnacentral:rRNA from 1 species
GGUAUCCUGGCUCAGGAUGAACGCUGGCGGCGUGCUAACACAUGCAAGUCGAACGGGGAUAUAUUGGAAUGAGGAUUCGUCUGAAGGAAAAUGUAUCUUAGUGGCGGACGGGUGAGUAACGCGUGGGCAACCUACCGUAUACAGGGGGAUAACACUUAGAAUAGGUGCUAAUACCGCAUAAGCGCACAGCAGUGCAUACUGGAGUGUGAAAAGCCGAGACGGUAUACGAUGGGCCCGCGUCUGAUUAGCCAGUUGGCAGGUAACGGCCUACCAAAGCGACGAUCAGUAGCCGGCCUGAGAGGGCGGACGGCCACAUUGGGACUGAGACACGGCCCAGACUCCUACGGGAGGCAGCAGUGGGGGAUAUUGCACAAUGGGGGGAACCCUGAUGCAGCGACGCCGCGUGAGUGAAGAAGUAAUUCGUCAUGUAAAGCUCUAUCAGCAGGGAAGAAUAAAUGACGGUACCUGAGUAAGAAGCCCCGGCUAACUACGUG